CCUACGGGAGGCAGCAGUGGGGAAUAUUGGACAAUGGGCGCAAGCCUGAUCCAGCAAUGCCGCGUGAGUGAUGAAGGCCUUAGGGUUGUAAAGCUCUUUCGCACGCGACGAUGAUGACGGUAGCGUGAGAAGAAGCCCCGGCUAACUUCGUGCCAGCAGCCGCGGUAAUACGAAGGGGGCUAGCGUUGUUCGGAAUGACUGGGCGUAAAGGGCGCGUAGGCGGUUGAUCAAGUUGGGGGUGAAAGCCCGGAGCUUAACUUCGGAAUUGCCUUCAAGACUGGUCGGCUUGAGUGUGGAAGAGGGUUGUGGAAUUCCCAGUGUAGAGGUGAAAUUCGUAGAUAUUGGGAAGAACACCAGUGGCGAAGGCGACAACCUGGUCCAUUACUGACGCUGAGGCGCGACAGCGUGGGGAGCAAACAGGAUUAGAUACCCUGGUAGUCCACGCCGUAAACGAUGAGUGCUGGAUGUUGGACGGUUG
rnacentral:rRNA from 1 species